rnacentral:rRNA from 1 species
UGUGUCGACAGAGUGGCAUAGAGGUUAGUAGGUGGGGGGCUAGGGUCGAUGGGAAUUAGUGGAGGUAAAGGGUGCGCAGGCGGAGCAGCAUGUCGGGCGUGAAAGCCCCGGGCUUAACCUGGGAAUUGCGUCCGGAACUAUGGAGCUGGAGUGUGGCAGAGGGAGGUGGAAUUCCACGUGUAGCGGUGAAAUGCGUAGAGAUGUGGAGGAACACCGAUGGCGAAGGCAGCCUCCUGGGCCAACACUGACGCUCAUGCACGAAAGCGUGGGGAGCAAACAGGAUUAGAUACCCUGGUAGUC